rnacentral:rRNA from 1 species
AGCGAACGCUGGCGGCAGGCUUAACACAUGCAAGUCGAGCGGGCAUAGCAAUAUGUCAGCGGCAGACGGGUGAGUAACGCGUGGGAACGUACCUUUUGGCUCGGAACAACACAGGGAAACUUGUGCUAAUACCGGAUAAGCCCUUACGGGGAAAGAUUUAUCGCCGAAAGAUCGGCCCGCGUCUGAUUAGCUAGUUGGUGAGGUAAUGGCUCACCAAGGCGACGAUCAGUAGCUGGUCUGAGAGGAUGAUCAGCCACAUUGGGACUGAGAUACGGCCCAAACUCCUACGGGAGGCAGCAGUGGGGAAUAUUGGACAAUGGGCGCAAGCCUGAUCCAGCCAUGCCGCGUGAGUGAUGAAGGCCCUAGGGUUGUAAAGCUCUUUUGUGCGGGAAGAUAAUGACGGUACCGCAAGAAUAAGCCCCGGCUAACUUCGUGCCAGCCGCCGCAGUAA